AUUAGCUAGAUGGUAAGGUAACGGCUUACCAUGGCUACGAUGUCUAGGGGUUCUGAGAGGAAGGUCCCCCACACUGGAACUGAGACACGGUCCAGACUCCUACGGGAGGCAGCAGUGAGGAAUAUUGGACAAUGGAUGGAAAUCUGAUCCAGCCAUGCCGCGUGCAGGAAGACGGCCCUAUGGGUUGUAAACUGCUUUUGUAUGGGAGCAAUAAGGGCUACGUGUAGUCCGAUGAGAGUACCAUACGAAUAAGCACCGGCUAACUCCGUGCCAGCAGCCGCGGUAAUACGGAGGGUGCAAGCGUUAUCCGGAUUUAUUGGGUUUAAAGGGUGCGUAGGCGGUUUGAUAAGUCAGCGGUGAAAUAUUUCAGCUUAACUGGAAGGGUGCCGUUGAUACUGUCGAGCUUGAAUUUAGUUGCUGUGGGUGGAAUGUGUGGUGUAGCGGUGAAAUGCAUAGAUAUCACACAGAAUAUCGAUUGCGAAGGCAGCUCACAAAGCUAAUAUUGACGCUGAUGCACGAAAGUGUGGGGAUCAAACAGGAUUAGAUACCCUGGUAGUCCACACUGUAAAC
rnacentral:rRNA from 1 species